rnacentral:lncRNA from 1 species
CCACAAACAAACACUUGUUCAGACAGCACCUGGCACAAGUUUUACACAGGCUGCCUUCACUUCUCUUUUAAGAAACAUGAGGGCUCUCUUUUGGGGAUUGUCUUCCCAACUGUAGGAACUGGAAAGCCAAGUACAUAAGAAAUGGCAAAUCAAUUAAUUUAAUAAAUACUUGUUAAUUAACUGCUCUGUGUUAAGUGUAUGUUUACAUCAGUGAUCAAAAGAAGCAAAUUCAUGUCCAUAUAGGUCUUACACUCUAAUGUUACCUAUCAUCUGUCUAUCAGUCAUGUAUCUUAUUUGCCUGUUAUCUAUAUAUCUACAGAAGCCUAUAUUAUAAUUUUCUCCAAAAAAAAAAAAAAAAUCUCAAGCUAAGUGAAGGAAAACAUGUCCUAUGGCCAGACCCCUUCCCUUACACCUUAAACCAGCCAUCACAUCUGUACACCUAUUAUCACCCCUCUGUAGAAAUGGCCUAUUCAUUGAUGGGCACGAAUGGGUCAUGAUUGCCAGUUCUAUAUCUUCUUGCAUGUGAUACUCAACAGGCAUCUUACCAUUAGCUUCACAUCACCAUUAAGGAAUUUCUGGUUCAGAGACAUUAAGCAGCUUUCAUGAGGUUUAUCAGCUAUUUAGUGGUUGAGCUGGAACUUGAAGUUCAGACUUCUACACUCAGAUUGGACAGUGUUAUAGGCCAUAGUGGUCAUAAAGAUUCUUACCAGGUACCUAGAAAAAAAUAAUAUAAGUGUGCAAGGUUCGUUUCUGUAGCUAUAUUGCCUGCAUAGAGGUAUUUUGUUAGCCUUGUGGUGGCCACAGGGAGUAUUACAGUCCUCAUCUGUCUGUGUUCAUUCAUCUUGAACUCAAAAUGGUGCCUGAGUAAUCAUGAUCUUACCCAAUUUACAUUUAUCCCUAGUAGCAGGAGACAAGAUUCACAAUAAUGUUCUUUAGUUCUUUAUUAAGUAGUCACCCAUAUUACAUAUUUCCAAUUUAUAAUCACACAUAUAAUAAUAUAGUUUUGUUAUUCAAGAGUGAGACUGUGAUAGUAUUUAUGAGAGACUCUUGACAAUUGUUAUUCUAAGCAUCGCACAGAUUAUAUAGCUCAUACUUCGUUUUUAAUCAUGCUGGGCUCAGAUAUGAAAUUAUGAGGUACAUAUAAUGUGUAUUAUCAAUAUGUAGCCUAAGUCUGUUCUUCCAUAGAUAAGUCUCUUUACUCUUCACAAACUCUCAACACUUGAUAAAGAAACAGUAAGUGGAAACAUGUAACCUCUAGGGGGAGCUCAAGGCUUCUCUCUCCUCCCUCUCUGCUCUGGGGAGGAUGAGGACUGGUAGAAACGGGUCAAGGUCAAGGAUAUUAUUGGGCCCAGGUGUGGGUAGGUGAUCACUGACUGUGCCUAGCUAGGAGGUUAAAGGGUUUUGCAUGUGCAUAAUGGUUUUUGUUUUGUUUUGUUUUGUUUUUUACCUUCCCUUGGAAAGCAACCUUUUGAGAAUUCUUCCCUGUGGCUGGUGUCAUAGGAGUGGCCCUUCCCUGGCAGGAACUGGAUGGGGAAGAGAAAAAAAUGAUGCAUGGACAAACUUCAGCCUAGGCCUUAGGCCAGAGGAGCAAUGGAAUCCUGCGGCUUGCCAUGACUCAUCCUUGCUCACUAGAUCCAGGGGUUCCACACAGGGGUGCAUGGGGGAUUGAAGUCAAAGUCAUAUGUCAUUAAGCAGAGGAACUCGCCUGGGAAGUCUCUCUGUUGAGCUUUUAGGGGAGCCUAGUAGGGCUGUCAGUGGCCACAGUGGAUUAAUGUGUGUGGACUUGAGGAUCAGGAGGCCUGACUCGUCCCCUCAUUAGUAAUACAAGUAACAUAAACAAGCACAGUAAUCCAAUUUAUGGUAUAGAAAAUGUGUCCUAAGAAAAUAUGCAUGCUAUAAACAUAAAUACAAUACUAUAUGUUUAUGCAAAUGAGUUAUAAAAUAUAAUAUAUUAAGGAAAGUUUCAAGUAAAGCAUUACCAAACAAAACUAACUGUGAUUUAUUCAACAGAAUGAAUGCACAUGGCAUAGAAUCAUGUCGAGGGUCGAGAGCCUUGGCCUGGAGCUUCAGGGGCUGAGGCUUAUGACGUCUCAUUGAAUGGACUCUGCCAGUUCCGUGGAUCUUCAGAAAAGAAGUUCAUUUAGUGGGAGGAAUAGCCUCCCCAGAGAAAAGGAACAGAAAUCCUUUAGCUUCUCUGGGCUCCUGUCUUAGUUUGAAUUCCCUCAAAACAGAUGCUGAGAUGAAGACUGGGUAUAGGUCAUUUAUUUGCAAGGUGGUCUCAAGAAUUGCAAGUAAGGGAACAAGGAGAGUGAUAGAGGGGAGGAAAGGUAGUAAAUGUGUGUUAAUGAGCUGGUUAUGCUGAAGGCAAUUAGCAUUCAAUGCUGUGUGGAGCCAGGUGAAACAACAUGUGGAUCACACCUCUGAAUCAGCCCCCUGGAGGAUGGGAAGGCUGGGGCAUUUGCGCACCAACUCUUAUUCCCCACUCAUUCAAGAUUUCCCCUUGGGCAUCAGUUUACCCACAUUUCUGGGUUGUGCUCAUGAUUCUGGAGAGUGAUGUCAGAAGUGAAGGGCAAACUCUUGAAGUGGGAAGCUGUCUGCAUGUCAAAGGUUGUCCGAGACUUCUAGGAAAUCAAGUGUGCUGAGGGAACAUAGGAAAGGGUAUCAACAACAUUCUCAUAUCAAAAUUGAGACUGGUCUCGAUGACCUCCAAGGCUGCUCCCAGCUUUUAUGUGCAAUAAUUCUCUGCUGUAUGGAGUUGCCUGCACCAUGGGUUUUCUAUCCUUGGUGGUGGUGAGAGCCCUUCUGUAGAAGUAAGUAAGCAGAUGCUUGAUGACCACAUGGAAGGAAUGUUGUAGCAUCCAAUACGUGAUUGAAAUAAGAAACUUUCAACACACUCAACACACUGUCUUAGAUUGAGUUCCUAGAAAACAGACCUGUGAUGAAGAUUCAGGUUUGAGUGAUUUAGUAAUGAAAUGCUUCCCGAGGAGGACAGUAAGGAAGUGUGAGAAGCAGGAUAGAGAAGAGAAGGAAGCCAAAAAAGGGUUUCAUGUCAAGGAAAGUCCCAGCCUCAGCCUGAUCCCACAGGGAAGCUCUGGUAUGUAAAUCACCUCAUAUUCUGUGGUGAUCCCAGGCAAGGGAGAGGGUUUUCGUUCUCCCUUACCCUUCAGUCAUUAACUAAGGGUCCCCGCAGGGGAAUGUAAACUUAGGGAGGUAUGACACAGUCACACUUAUGUGAAUGUUGGCUCUGUUCUGAUACAGAUUUACAAGACUUUGUGGAUGAGACCUUGGCCCUCAGGCUCCAAAAGUCUCGUCUUUGGCCCAUUCUAAUGCUGCUGACAGCUGACAUGCAGGAGACUUAGAAUUUCAGAGCUCUAACUCAGGGACUUUUUUUAUAGAAUAGAAAUUCAAGCUUGCAAGGUACAGAAUGACCCCAACCCCUCAUGCAAACUGUAUGGAAUCUUUUCAAACUGAAGUAGAUUUUGGACUAAAGACAGUAGAAAUAUUUCUGAAAUGAAGGGAUAAAUCUAGCCAUGCAGAGAUGCAGCACAAUGCUAUCAUAAAAAAUCCACUUUUGUCCAUGCCACAGCCCUGAACCUCCCGUGCACCAGAUCAGAGACCCUGAUAAAUCUGGGCUGCUAGAAAUGCCAACCAGCUCAUAUGUUUUCAGUGAGCAAUGACAGGGAGCCAAAUUGCUUUAUUCCGAUUAAGGAAGGGCCUCUGACUGUAAAAGAUACUGUGUGAAAAAAAAUACUGAGUUUUAGUUCACUGACACAUCAAUUUAAGAGAGUUAUGGCUCUCACAUGGAGGCCAAGCAGGUAUCUCUCCACAUGUAUGUGCAAUAAAAAUUAAUUGUGGCCUUUUAUACAGGGCACUGUUCUCACUUGUGGGAUCAGAGGGUGACCUGAGUGUCACUUUUAGUGGCAAGCCACAACACUGCAGGUGCUGGUUCUUUUCUGAAAAAAACCCAGAGGGAAACCAACAGCAAAAGCCAUGAACGAGCUCCAUGUUUAACUUUUUGAUUCUACAAAGAGAUAUGCAGUCAUGUUAUGUUUGUAUUUUUCCAAGCGUAUGUACAUAUAUAUGUAUGUUUUAUGGGUACAAUGUAUGUGCAUCAAUCAGGAUCCAGACAGGAAAAGAGAAACUUCUCCAAGUCUUUCAAGUUAAUUCAGGGAAUUGGUUACACACAAAUUGGAAGAGAGAAAAAGUCAAACAGAGAAUGAUGAGGCAAUCCAGAGAUUAACAACAGUGGGAAGCUGCUACCACCUUAAAGUCUCAAGGGAUGCAGGGAUGGCUUUAUGGGGUUUAGGGGCUGGAGCCAUCCAGGGUGAGCUUAAACCGUGGUGAGAGCUCCCCAGAGAGCCGUGGCCACAGAAAGAGAGGUAGUCUUGUGGGAGCUGGAAUGCCUUUGCUGCCAGAGAUGCCAUAGGAAACUGAGAGUGAGGAAAGUGAAAUGUUCUGACUUUUCUCUUCCUCCUGCUCUCCAAUCUUCCACCAGUGCCUCUCAUUGGCCAAACUAAGCUGGAAACUGAAAGGCAAGGGAGUCUGGGAUAUGUAAUUAUCUGCCAUAAAAGGCAUAGCAGGGAUGGAUCUAAGAGCAGAGGGACAGUUGACAGACAUGGUAUACAGGUAAAUACCUCUCUGUUGGUUUGUGUCCUAAUUUGACAAGUCUGUAAGACUCAGUGUGAGGGUAUUAAUAGGUAAUGCUUCUAGGAGGUAAUUAGGUCAUGAAGGUGGAGCCCUCAUAAAUAGGAUUAGUGCCCUAUUUACAAGAAAGAGACCAGAAAGCUAUCUCAUUCUUUUUCCACCAAGUGAGAAUACAAGGAGAAGUCGGCUGGCUGUCUUCAGCUUAGACGCAGGGCUUCCCCAUAACAAGACCAUGCCAGCACUCAGAUCUUGAACUUCCAAGCCUCCAGAACUGUGAUAAAUAAAUUUCUGUUGUUUACAAGCCACCUAGUCUAUGGCACUUUGUUAUAGCAGCCCUAACUAAGACCGUAUCUUACUAUUAGUAGUGGUAUGGCAUUGCUUUAAGUUCUGUGUGCCUUUGUAUUUACUUCCUUGAACUAGCUCUCUCCUGGGAGGAAGGAGAGAAUGCGAGAUGAAAGAGAGGGGUACCAGCUCACUUCAAGACAGUCUGGAAGGGAUCUCAGAGUCUCCUUUUUCUAGUCUCUUGACCUGAAUUCAAUCACUGGCAUCCCCUCAUGCUCUGGUACUGGAGCAAAUGGAGGCUCUUCCAAUGGAGGUAUUUCUGGGGAUGUAGGGCUGAUCAGGGACAGAAGAAAUUCUUGGGAUCCUUAGUUCCAGUGAGGGGAAGUGGUCCAUUAGCAGUUCCUGCACUGCCCUGUCACCCAUACCCCAGCCCUGUCUCCCACACAAUGGAUAGUACACAUGACAGCCAGCUUGCAACUGGUGUGGACAGUGGCCUAGGUGGUAAUUUAAGGGCAUCUAUUAUUCUCUUUCUAAAAGUAUCUCCCCUGACCCAUUGUGUUGAAGUCUGUUCUACUGAUAUAAAAACACCCUUGCAUGGGUGAGGGGUGAAAUAUUAAUCUGGUGUAAGACACUAACACUGCAGAAUAAAAUAGUGGCCCAGACUUUUUGACUUUUUCCUUCUGUGACAAGUAGCUGAGAGCAAGAGGUUUAGAAGAUUCAGGGGCAAGAAAGUCAUUUUGGAACAGAUGUUACUGGCCUGCAAGACAGGGGUAGGUGGGAGAAACUUCAAUAAGGACACAGGAAAUGAGAAAGAAGGUUUCCAUAGUAGGAGACAUGAAUAAAGGAGAGGGUGAUAGGAGGGAAUGAAGCCAAAAAAGGUCUUCUUUCUCCAGGAGUAGCCUUGAUGCCCUCAGCUCAUGAUCAAUUGCUUCUUUAAUGAAAAGAACAAACACCUAGUGCUCUCUGUGUGCCAGCAUUGAUCCAAGCGCAUUUUGUCUUCAAAGCAAUCUUUAAGGAAGUUAGUACUAUUAUUACCCCCCUCAAAGGGUGUUGCUGAACACCACUGCUUGCCCAAGAUCAUAUAGCUGAGAGUGGCAGAGCUGGAAUUUGAACCCAGAAUGUCUGGCUCUGGAGACUGCUUUCUUAACCACUAAAUUAUAUUCCUCCUCAAGUUAAUGCAAUUGAACACUAAAAAACGUUUUGAGGGGAACUUUGUAUGAAGCACCAUGGAAGUUGGAAAGAUGGAUGAGAGAUACCAUUUUUACUCUUCCUCAAGGAAUUUUUCCUAUAAUGAAGAUCAGCCGGGCAGGGCUGUGAGGGGCUUUGGGAAAGCAAUUCUGGGCAGUCAAGGCAGGCAGGUAGCAUCUAUGAAACUCAUUCCCAGAAAGAGGGGCUGCAGGCAUCUGGCUCUACUUGGGGACUAGACUCCUGCCCUAGAUAAGCAAAAACAAGGAAGACCCAAGAGGCCUUGUGGGGAUGAAGGUGAGAACCUAGCAGUAGGAUGAGUUAUUGACAUUGGAAUUCAGAACAAGACUAAAGCUGUAGCACACUGCAUCAAUUAGGAAUGAUUUUUAAGCUGUGUCUAACAGCAAACCUAAUAUUGACUUGAUUUUUUUUUCAUUUACUCCUUGCCUCCCUGAAUCCCUCCAGCUGGGCCCAUCAAGCUUGCCAUCUACACAUUCAGCACAGUCCUAGGUCCCAGAACAGUCUAUUGAGGCUCAUAGAUGUAAGGGACUCUAGCCUUGCCUCAGAUGAGACUUUGGACUUUUGAGUUCAUGCUGGAACAAGACUUUGGGAAUUAUUGGGAAGGCAUGAUUGUAUUUUGCAAUAGAAGAAGAACAUGAGAUUUGGGAGGGGCUGGGUGGAAUGCUAUAGUUUCGAUCUGAGUCCCUGCCCAAAUCCCAUGUCAAAUUGUAAUUCCCAAUAUUGGAGGUAGGGCCUGGUGAGAGGCAAUUGGAUCAUGGAAGUGGGUUUCUUACUAAUGGUUUAGCACCAUCGCCUUGGUGCUGUUCUCAUGAUAAUGAGUUCUCAUGAGAUCUGGUUGUUUAAAAAUCUAUGGCACCUCCCCCCUCACUCUCUCAUACUCCUGUUCCUGCCAAGUGAGGUGCCUCAUUCCCCUCUUUGCCUUCUGCCAUUAUUGGAAGCUUCCUGAGGCCUUCCCAGAAGCAGAAAUGCUAUGCUUCUUGUACAGCCUGCAGAACUGUGAGCCAAUUAAACCUGUGUU